UGGGCUUCUCUGCCUAUGUGCUCGGGGAGGAGUCUGGGCGUGCUUGUACCCGGGAGGAGUUUGGGAAUGUGGUCGAGCUUCAUUCGGGCCUCUUUCAACUGUGGACUUACCGGGGUCACCCGCCUGCCACUCCUUCGCGGCUUCCUCGUCCUUCAGCUUGAAGGCUUCCUCAGCUUGGGCAUAUCCUUCGGCCCGAGCCAGC
rnacentral:lncRNA from 1 species